GCUUGUCUCAAAGAUUAAGCCAUGCAUGUUCAAACAUAAGUAUUAUAAAGCGAAGUUGCGAAUGGCUCAUUAUAUCAGUUAUAAUAUACUAGAUAGUUUCUCUACUUGGAUAACCGUAGUAAUUCUAGAGCUAAUACAUGACUAAAAGGGCUAGCCCUGCAUUUAUUAGAUACAACCAGCCCUUCGGGUCUUUGGUGAAUCAUAAUAACUGAGCGAACCGCAUCGUAAGAGCGGUGGUUCAUUCAAGUUUCUGCCCUAUCAGCUUUCGAUGGUAGGGUAUUGGCCUACCAUGGCGUUAACGGGUAACGGAGAAUUAGGGUUCGAUUCCGGAGAGGGAGCCUGAGAAAUGGCUACCACAUCCAAGGAAGGCAGCAGG
rnacentral:rRNA from 1 species